AUUGAACGCUGGCGGCAGGCUUAACACAUGCAAGUCGAACGCGUGGCGGACGGGUGAGUAAUGUUUGGGAAUCUAGCUUAUGGCGGGGGAUAACUCCGGGAAACUGUAGCUAAUACCGCAUACCAUAGGAUUAGCCCAAGUGGGAUUAUGUAGUUGGUGGGGUAAAGGCUCACCAAGCCGACGAUCUCUAGCUGGUCUGAGAGGAUGACCAGCCACACUGGGACUGAGACACGGCCCAGACUCCUACGGCAGGCAGCAGUGGGGAAUAUUGCGCAAUGGGGGCAACCUGACGCAGCCAUGCCGCGUGAGUGAAGAAGGCCUUCGGGUUGUAAAGGUCUUUCGGUAGGGAGGCGUUAACUACAGAAGAAGCACCGGCUAACUCCGUGCCAGCAGCCGCGGUAAUAC
rnacentral:rRNA from 1 species